AAAAAAGAAGAAGAAGAAGAAAAUAAAGGAAUAAAGAUUUGUUUUCUGAAACACAACAGCCAAAAGGAAGGAUACCUUCCACGUUUUCCCAGAAGGUUCAACUUGCAGUGUCCAGAGGAAAUGUGGAGGAACAUGGUUGUCCAGAAGGGAAGAAGAUAGAUCAGUGUUCCUGUUGCAGGACUGCUUGUAGUCUGAGAAUAAGGCAAAUUCCUUUGUGAGCUGCAGCUGGUGUGUCAAGACUUCUACAACUUUGGAGAACUACAACCAUGAGAGAAUCAACUUCUUGCUGUGAUUCAGAGUUGGAGCAGUGGUUUCUAUUUUGUGAGUCAGUUCCAGAGACAGGUGGUGGUAAGUUGAGGAGGCAAUAAUAAUGCCAGUUAUUUUUGUGGUGGCACUUGUGGUGCCAAGCUCAUUGCAGAAAGAAAUUAGAUGGGCCGGGCGCGGUGGCUCAAGCCUGUAAUCCCAGCACUUUGGGAGGCCGAGAAGGGC